GACGAACGCUGGCGGCGUGCUUAACACAUGCAAGUCGAGCGGUGAAACGCGUUCCUUUUUGGUGGGAGUGUAGGGGUGGCGGACUGGGGAAUAACACGAGAAUAACCUGCUCCCUCCGUCUGGAUAUCGGCAAGAAAGUGUGACUAAUACGGAAUAUUCUGAGUCUGUCGCUUGAUGGGUCUGGGAAGGAUAUUGUGUCGGUUGGGGAUGGGCUCGCGGCCUAUCAGCUUGUUGGUAGGGUGAUGGCCUACCAAGGCGGUGACGGGUAGCCGGCCUGAGAGGGUGGGCGGCAACACAGGUGCUGCGACAUGCACAAGACUCCUACGGGCGGCAGCAGUGGGGAAUACUGCACGAGCGGCGGAAGGCUGAUGCAGCGCCGCGGGGGGAGGGAUGGACGUCGUCGGGUUGUGAACCUCUUUCGCGAGUGAAGCAGGGCUGCCUCGUUUGUGCGUGGGUUGACGGUAGCUGGAUAAGAAGCCCCGGCUAACUACGUG
rnacentral:rRNA from 1 species